GAAAGCGAGUUUUAACUGAGCGUUCAGUUACUUGACGUAGACCCGAAACCGGGCGACCUACCCAUGAGCAGGAUGAAGCGAAAGUAAAAUUUCGUGGAGGUCCGAACCCACGAGCGUUGAAAAGCUCGGGGAUGACUUGUGGGUAGCGGUGAAAUUCCAAUCGAGCCCGGAGAUAGCUGGUUCUCCCCGAAAUAGCUUUAGGGCUAGCCUCAAGGUGAGAGAUACGGAGGUAGAGCACUGAAUGUCCUAGGGGGUAUUGCACCUACCGAAGACUAUCAAACUCCGAAUGCCGUCAUCUUAUACUUGGGAGUCAGACUGUGGGUGAUAAGAUUCAUAGUCGAAAGGGCAACAGCCCAGAUCGUCAGCUAAGGUCCCUAAAUGUAAGUUAAGUGGUAAAGGAUGUGGGAUUGCACAGACAACCAGGAUGUUGGCUUAGAAGCAGCCACUCAUUCAAAGAGUGCGUAAUAGCUCACUGGUCGAGUGAUCCUGCGCCGAAGAUUUCCGGGGCUAAAACUU
rnacentral:rRNA from 1 species